AUGGUAUUUGAGCGGGUUAGCACGAUGGUGGCGAGGAAGGGGUGCACGGCGUCGCAACUCGCACUUGCUUGGGUUCACCACCAGGGGAACGAUGUGUGCCCCAUACCAGGAACCACAAAGGUCGACAACUUCAACCAGAAUGUGGCGGCGCUGUCCGUGAAGCUCGCCCCAGAGGAGAUGGCCGAGCUUGAGUCCUACGCAUCGGCGGAUGUUGCGGGCGAUCGUACCAUGAUUUCCUGA
rnacentral:rRNA from 1 species